GACAGAGGAUGCAAGCGUUAUCCGGAAUGAUUGGGCGUAAAGCGUCUGUAGGUGGCUUUUUAAGUCCGCCGUCAAAUCCCAGGGCUCAACCCUGGACAGGCGGUGGAAACUACCAAGCUGGAGUACGGUAGGGGCAGAGGGAAUUUCCGGUGGAGCGGUGAAAUGCGUUGAUAUCGGAAGGAAACGCCGGUGGCGAAAGCGCACAACUGGUCCUCUUCUGACGCUGAGGCGCGAAAGCCAGGGGAGCAAACGGG
rnacentral:rRNA from 1 species